AUCCUUCUGUGGUCCAUAAGCAUGAUGAUGGGGUUUUUCGUAUUAUCAUGAGAUGUGCUUCCCUCCAAACUAUUACACUGCCUGCACAUCACCCAUCUGACU
rnacentral:snoRNA from 1 species